rnacentral:lncRNA from 1 species
UUCACACAACACAAGAUCAAAUUCAUCUCUCUCUUCCCUCUUGAUACCUCAUGGCCGAACACCCCUUCACACAUACACAUUCAAAAUUUCCAACCUUUCCAUGAAGAAUCAAGAGUUUUCCAAGAUGAUUCCAAGCUAAAAAGGGUGUUUGGAAGUGAUUUCAAGCAAGAACAACCUCCAUAUCAUCAUCUAUUCUCAAAAACCCAUCUAAAAAUCUUGAAGGACGUGUAGAAAAUCAAUCUAUGGGAUUGCGCUAUUAAAAUACGCACCCAAAGAUACUUGAGUUCGGCUUCGGGAAAUCAUGGCGUAUCUUGUUGAUGUGCGUAUUAGUUUGUUUGGGUGAUAGAUGUUGUUAAUGGUGGAGGUGUUGAAGGACUACGCCGGAGCUUCCAGGUUGGUAAUUGCGAAGCAGGAAUCGGCAUCCUAAUUGGUAAAAUGGUGAUGUAGACGUAACAUUCCUACAAGUGGUAACCUUGAUCUUACAAAGUGGUAUUUGUGGUUAUAUUUUGAGAUGUUUGUAUUUUAACAAGUGGUAUAGAAGGUUCUAAAAUGCAAAUGGUAAAUCAGGGACAUUAAAUUGUACUUGAUUUACUAUUCAUGGCAAAAGAUAGACAAGAUGAUGAACCACAUCCCCGUUCUUAAAAUUGAUAAAUCUACAAGUGGUUUUUAUCAACACAAACUCAUUUUUCGGAAAAAUCAUUUUGAUUAAAACAAACUUAAGUGUUUUGAAAUCUAAAUGAGAAAAUGGUUUGUGAUAGGGGGAGUUCUGAUUGUUUGUGCCGAGUGAAUGGCGAUUUGAGGUGAUUCGAUAUCAGUUGUCAAGUUUCUAUUUUUUCAAGUGGGUCAAAAGUCUUUUAUUUUCAAAAUUUCCUUUGAAAUGUGUUUGCAUUUUAGGGGGAGUAAGAAAUUUUAGAAAAUCCAAAAACAUUAGAAAAUUUGAAAAAACCAAAAACAUGAUAAAUUUCAAAAAUGAGUUUCGUUGUGAAAAGAGGAAAUGAUAGUACAUCAGUGGACUAUCACGGCACGCUAAAGAAAUGUAAAGUCAAAAUGUGAUAAACAAUCUUACUGCGGAUGUGUCAGUAGAUUUUCGCACAUUUAGUAAAUUGAAACGAGAUAUAAAUCUAAAUUCAAACUUGCUUAAUUCGUGGGUAACUAUUCUUGGAUAUAUGGGUAACCCCCGAAAUCUUGUUUGAAAGGUCCCGUAUUCUGAGAUACUAGGUCUUUAUACUCAGUGAUAUCUGGGGUAUUAUCCCGGGACUUCUGCUGAAUGGAAGUUCUGACCUAGUCCCCGGAUAAUACUUUCUGCUAAAGCUUUGAAACAUAAGCUUCGCCCUCAGCAUGCUGAUGAAACAAUAAAAUUGAUAGUCGCUGCUGUUGUAAUCAAAAGAUCCUCUAAAGGGGACCCACCAAAAGUCGAGCCGUCAUCUCUCUGCUGAACGGAAGUUCUGACCUGAGCUCUCACGGUUUCGCAUCUACCCCUUUACAGAUAUCAUCUGUGGUAUACUCACCUGUAAGACUGAAUAUUUGGGAUCUGGAUACGGGAGUAUAUUCAAGUGGAGUGAUACACAAUUAAGUUUAAGUCUCUAAAACAUUAAUAUCAUAUCUCGAAUCAAUUGAAAUUUGUGUUGAGAAUUUAAGUGGACAAACAUACUGACAAUCUAGGUAAAUUGUUUUGAACUAAAAAUGCAAUGAAGCUUAACGGUGUUAGUGAUGAGUCUCAGAAUCUGAUAUGAUCCUCUCGCACGAACUCACAAAAAAUAUUGUUUGUAAAUAUUACAUUUCUGUAUGUUUGUGUUUACUAGUAGUGUCAGGUAAUAUCUCUCAGAAAAUCCAAAAAGAUUUUCAGUGUGUUUUAGCUAAAUUUUGAAAAAGUCAAAAAGAUUUUCGACAACUGAUGUUGGAAAACUGAUUUUCAAAAUUCCGAGUGCUAAACAUGAUGAGCAGCAUUUGAGAGGGAGUGUUUGUGUAAAUCUAACUAUUUUCGUUAAAUCUAACCUUUUCAAAUGGUUCAUCAUAGAUAUUUGAGAGAGAGUCUGAGUUGUUGCAACUAUAUGUUUGUUUAGUGAAUAUGAGAGUCAAAUGUUGGUGCAUAGUUAUUUGAAAUGUUUGUGAAAGAAAUUUAUUUCAGGGUUGAGAUUGUGCAGGGAGCCAGGUUUCGAUUUCUGAAGAUCUCUGAUGGAAGAGAGCCAAGUCUCGAUCCUGGAAAUCAAUUCUGAAAGAAUGAGUAGAGUCAGAUUCUGAUCCUGAAGAUCAUGUCUAUCGUUGAUGCUGAUGAACUUAAGGAAUCAAGAGAAUUAGAGUAUUUUAAAGCCAGACAACGAUCCUGAAGAUGUUACUGAAGAACAAAAGAAUGCCAGUAAAUCGAGAGGGGGAGUCUGAAGAUUGAAAGAAGAUAAAGCCCAGAAACUGAUCUAGACUGAAGAUAUGAAGACACAGUUUUACAGUCAAGGUGUAUUGGCGACUCCAUCAACAUCUGAGGGGGAGUCUGUUAGUGCACUACAUCUGUUGAUUGCGUCUAGGUAUCUAGGAUCAGGUCUUAUGUCGUAUUGUAUAGCAUAGGGCACGUAAUACGAGAAAACAGGAGUCUGUAUAGGUUUUAUAUGCUAGGUUCGCUCAUAGGGACAUGAGGAUUAUGGUUCGCUCAUUUGGCAUGCCGGUCCGCUUAUGUGGACUAGUGUGGUCCGCUCUUAUGGUCAUGUGACACAUAAGCGGACCCAACUGCCUAUAUAUAGAUGUAGUCAUGAGCGGAUCAGUAGAGUAGUUGUUGAUUUCCACGCCGAAGCUCUGUCGGUGUGAAGAUUGAGCUGUAAAACGUUUCAAAUCAAUAAAACAAGCAGUU